GUCCCUGUAGCGCAAUGGAUAGCGCGUUGGACAGCUAAUCCAAAGGUCGUAGGUUCGAAUCCCACUUGGGAUA